rnacentral:rRNA from 1 species
UACGUAGGGUGCGAGCGUUGCCCGGAUUUAUUGGGCGUAAAGGGCGCGCAGGCGGUACGGCACGUCCGUUGUGAAAUCGCUCGGCUCAACUGGGCGGGGUCAGCGGAUACGGCCGCUCUCGAGCAAGCUAGGGGGCAAUGGAAUUCCCGGUGUAGUGGUGGAAUGCGUAGAUAUCGGGAGGAACACCAGUGGCGAAGGCGGUUGCCUGGAGCUUUGCUGACGCUGAUGCGCGAAAGCGUGGGGAGCGAUCCGG